CCCUGGCCCUAGGAUUGGCUAUUUCUACAAAGCAAACUGGUUCCUUUCACUGGGGAAUGGUAAUUAGAAACCAAGAUCUAAGAACUGGGAAUGCUCAUUGCUAUUAAACUGUCAUUGCUUUUGGCGGACAGAGCUAGUUAAUAAAUAUUUGUAUAUUAGCUUAUGUAUAAACACAUAUCUGUAACUCUGUAUCUAUUCAUCUGUGUGUGUGUGUGUGUGUGCAUAGAUAAACAUGAGUUCGUACUGAUGUUUCCAACUCCAGCACCAUGAGGUUCAUUUUAGCCUUCCCUUCCUGCUGAUCUGUAACAUUCCUCUCUAACAGAGAAAACUGACUCCCACCACCCACCACGCAUUUACUUAUUUUUUGACUCCAGUCUACUGAAAAAACACAUUCAGGAUUGUUAAUCCAUAUCCCACCUGGGGAAAUUUUAAAACGCCCACUGUCCAAGCCACCUGAAAACAAUUAAGUCAACUUCUAGGGAUGCAGCCCAGGCCUUAGAAGUCUUGGAAUUUCCCAGGUGAUUUCAAUGUAUAGCCAGGCUCAGAACCAUUGAGUUAAAAUGUCAGCAUACUCAGGUGGGGUCUUUCUUGCCUUUCUCUGCCUGCUGUUUGCUUUCACGUCAUUGAGACAGGAAGGGCUGGGAGUUGCUUCAAAGUGGAGGAUGUACAGGCAGCUCACUGUCCCUGGGUGAGCUUCCCCUUCCCGCAUCAGUUUGGCAGGAGGCUAAUUAUUUGUCUUUCGGGCUCUGUCUCUGAGGCUUCAAAUUCUCUGGCAAUGGCAGGUGGGCUUGAGAUUGGACUUCUGUCAUCAGCUUGUGUGAUCUUACUCUGGCAUAGAUAGGGAAAAACAGACUGAGCCUGCCUUACAGCCUGCUUGUCUGACUCCCAGCUUAUUUAAGGAAGAAAGUGCCUACCAGGGCUGCCUAAAAUGCGUCUCAUGAAGAAUUCAGCCAUCUCUGAAGGGCUGCCAUGGGAAGAGAGUAGGAGUCUGGACCUCCAGAAGCCAGUGGUUCUCAAAAUUUUGCCGUCAAAGGAUCACCUGGAGGAAUUUUCAAACACAAGCACCCCGGGAGAGAAAGUGCCCAUCACUCCUCCUCCUGCAGUUCCUUCAGGCAGCAAUGCUGUUAAGUAGAACUGGGAAGCAAUAUGGUGCCCUCCAGAGUGUCAAGAGAAGACAAGAAAUGUAUCACCCUAGAUCAGUACCCUUGCCUUGCUUUCUGACUUGAGCCGCCCUGACAUCUGCUUGCAUUGUCCCUGUAGUCAAGGAGCCAGAUCUCUGCUGUCGCCAUCUCUCCUGCUACUAACUGCAUAUAUUGCUGUGUCCAACCUGCUCAUCUAUUCUUCAAACUACUACCUCAUACAAAUCCUUGGGGAGUCUGGGACUGGUUUUGGAUUAUCUUACAACUGAUGUAUAGACAGUAGAUGUUUUCAAAGCUUGAAGGAACUUAACGUGUGUUUUCCUCAGGAUUGCGCCAUUCAGAGCUCUUAUUUGCCACUUUUUAUUUACACUUUGAAGAAUGGAUUUGCCAAACAAAAGCAAAUUGCAACUCAUCUCCUGCCUAAAAUCUUUAAACAGAAUCUAAAAGAUGGGGUUAGACUUGAAUUUAGAAUCACAGAAAAGCAUUAAAUUGGGAAUGAACAUUUAACGAUGGUCCCAUCCAGUGGUUCCAAACCCUGGGCUUCCAGCCCUGAUGUGACAGAACCAUCUGGGAAGCUUUUCAGAAAAUACAGAAUCCCUGAACCUUUCCCUAGAAAUUUGUUUUCAGUCUUUAGGGUGGAGCUGGGGAAUCUGUAUUUUUAUAAAAUUUAUUGGUUGUAAUUUAAUAAACAUUAAAAGCAACUGGAUGGGCAAAGGCAUCUCAAGUCAAAAGACCAAGCACAAAACAGGAAUUAAUCUUCGUAACUCGUAGGCCAACCUUGGGCUGAGAGCCAGGAGAGAGAGUAUCAUCAGACAAGACCCUCCAAGCCAGCACAGGCACUCUGUGCACCCUCUGGGCCCACACACUGGGCAGGACUGUGUGCGUGGGGCUGUGGGAUGCACGUUUAUUUAUUUAUAAAGGAAGAUUUGGUGUCUGGUCUCUGACCACAGCUCAUCUUCAAACGUCCAUGGAGCCUACCCCCAUUCCUCCCAUCACUGGGCCAGUGGUGCUCUCAUCUGCCCCCUCUCACUUCCCCAAAUAACGGGGAGAAACCCUGGAAGGCCUGAGCAGUCCUUGGAAGGGAAGCCUCUUGCAGAGCCUCGUCAUCUCAGGAGUCCCUUUUUUGGCGGAAGCGGCUCUCGCUGCACAGCUGGAGGAUCUGGAGCAGAACACAUCCAAGGUCCACAAACACAAACCCAGGGAUUUUGUUCUUUCGUGUUGUGGCCUGUAAGCCUUGCUGUAGCGUGUUCCCCCAAUUUCCCUCUUUCCCUUUUUAGUAUUUUAUUUGGUUCCAUUCCUUUCUGUGUGAACAGUUGGUCCUCAUAAUCCCUGAGCAGCUUGUAGCUGGUUUUUACCGUCAUUCCACAUGGUCACUCCGUUCGGUUCCAGCAAGCACGUUGAGGUUUGGACAUCCUCUUCACAUAGCUGUCAACUCGUUUCUCUAAGCUCUAGGCCAGAGUGGCCACUAUGUGUGAGUUGGUUUUCCUUUUUUGCUGCUGAAAGUGUAUCUUUAUCACUGCCUGCUCUGGGAUUGGGAUGAUUCCUCUGCUUUAGCAGAAUGUUAAAAUAAUUUCCAAGAUCAUCCUGAAGAGGCAGAGUUCUAACAUCUGCUAAUAAAGAAUGGCUCCAAACAAAGUGGCCUGGAUUAGCCUUGCAAGGGUGGAAAUGGCAACAGGCUGGCCUCCAAGAUGCUGUAAUAUUACAUGCGCGCCCUGCCGGCCUCAGCCUUGGAACCCUACAAACCACCAUCUUGAGAACAUCAAAGGAAAUAUUUUCCACUUCUAGAGGCUGCCAGAUCCUAGAGGUACUGCCACACAAAAUAAACUCUCCUCCAAGUGACUGAAAAUGCUAUUUCCCCUCAAUUGUGGGAAAGCAUAAAUAAAUGGGACAGCGUGAGAUGAAGAAACCAAUAGAGGGAAAAUUUGAUACAUUAAACACGCGGGAAGCUGCAGUAGUAGCCACAGGGCUGGCAAAAGAACAGAAAUCAAAAGA
ensembl:lncRNA